UGACCUCGGAUCAGGUAGGGAUACCCGCUGAACUUAAGCAUAUCAAUAAGCGGAGGAAAAGAAACCAACAGGGAUUGCCCUAGUAACGGCGAGUGAAGCGGCAAGAGCUCAAAUUUGAAAUCUGGCCCUUUCAGGGUCCGAGUUGUAAUUUGUAGAGGGCGCUUUGGCGUCGGCUACGGCUAAGUUCCUUGGAACAGGACGUCACAGAGGGUGAGAACCCCGUACGUGGCCGCUGGCCUUCGCCGUGUAAAGCCCCUUCGACGAGUCGAGUUGUUUGGGAAUGCAGCUCUAAAUGGGAGGUAAAUUUCUUCUAAAGCUAAAUACUGGCCAGAGACCGAUAGCGCACAAGUAGAGUGAUCGAAAGAUGAAAAGCACUUUGGAAAGAGAGUCAAAAAGCACGUGAAAUUGUUGAAAGGGAAGCGCUUGCAGCCAGACUUGCCUGUAGUUGCUCAUCCGAGCUCCCGCUCGGUGCACUCUUCUGCGGGCAGGCCAGCAUCAGUCCGGGCGGUCGGAUAAAGGCCCUGGGAAUGUAGCUCC
rnacentral:rRNA from 1 species